rnacentral:lncRNA from 1 species
CUUUGCCUAGCGCGGCCGCGCGGCCUCCUCAGUACAAUUGGGCGCGGGCGCGCGACUUGCAGUGUCUGUAGUGUUUUUCCCAGACCUCAAUGUGAUAGCUUGACACUGUUCCUUCCCUUCUCUUCGUGGAUUUGUUUCUGUAUUACUCGGCAAUGAACCCUGGGGCCUGUUUGUAAGCAUAUUCUCCAUCUGCCCCAUCUGAG